rnacentral:rRNA from 1 species
UACAGAGGGGGCAAGCGUUGUUCGGAAUUACUGGGCGUAAAGGGCGCGUAGGCGGCCUUCUAAGUCGAACGUGAAAUCCCCGGGCUCAACCCGGGAACUGCGUCCGAUACUGGAGGGCUUGAAUCCGGGAGAGGGAUGCGGAAUUCCAGGUGUAGCGGUGAAAUGCGUAGAUAUCUGGAGGAACACCGGUGGCGAAGGCGGCCCACUGGUCCGGUACUGACGCUGAGGUGCGAAAGCGUGGGGAGCAAACAGG